CAGCCGCCGCGGUAAUACGAAGGGUGCAAGCGUUACUCGGAAUUACUGGGCGUAAAGCGUGCGUAGGUGGUGGUUUAAGUCCGUUGUGAAAGCCCUGGGCUCAACCUGGGAAUUGCAGUGGAUACUGGGUCACUAGAGUGUGGUAGAGGAUAGUGGAAUUUCCGGUGUAGCAGUGAAAUGCGUAGAGAUCGGAAGGAACAUCUGUGGCGAAGGCGACUAUCUGGGCCAACACUGACACUGAGGCACGAAAGCGUGGGGAGCAAACAGGAUUAGAUACCCCUGUAGUCCCUGUCUCUUAUAA
rnacentral:rRNA from 1 species